GGUCACACUGAGCAUAGGCUUAACUUUUCUAAACUGAUUUUACAGAAAUAAACAGUGAAGGGGUGUUAUAAACUGCCGAUGCCUCUAGCAGCUCCAUGGCUUGGGUAUUCUUCCUGCCCAGUGCAGACACCCCAGGCUUUUCAUCUCAGGCUGAUUUUCUAUUUGCAGGUUCAAACAGUAGCAAGGCUGAGUGUGCAUCAGACAGACAUAUGGAGGACACUGAUGUGGCUGGCUACACAAACUGCAACAGAUAAGGCACUGCCUUUACCAGCACCUAGCUUCAGUGCUACCAGGACUUAAAGCAUAUAGACUGUCACCUCCCCUUUCUCUUCUUUGGCUGGGUGCUCUGUGGGAUUUUAGCUGAAGCCUUGCGUCUGUUUCACUCCAUGAUUUUGCCGUGGAGAGCAGACAGGAAGACGUUGCCCUGAACAACCCCUACUCCACAGGACGUUAGCUCUGGGGAUAUGACUGGGGAUGCCUCUCCAACAAAAACAUUCAGAUACCAACAAACUCUGAAAACUGAAAAGCCUCAUGUUCACCAUCCCUGGAAGCAAUCUACUGGAGCAACAACGCAGCAGAGCACAAACAAUCCAGGAAGUUUCUGGAGUGCAUUGACUGCAAGGGGAGGUGCUCCGCUGGACCUGAUACUUAGAAUAAGGAAGGACUGUUGGAAGUGUGAAGGUCCAGGAUAGCCUCAGGAACUGAGGAGGGAGAAGGACUAAAAACAAGAUCACAAUCCUUGAGUUCAGGAGAGCAGUCUUUGGCUUUUCAGGGAUUUGCUUGGAAGAAUCCUGUGGGAUAUGGCCCUGAAGAGGGGUCCAAGAGAGCUGUUCGAUGUACAGAAAUCAUCUCCUCCAAGCUCAGGAACAAUCCAUCUUGUUGAACAGGAAAUCAAGCAAAGGCAGCAGGAGGCCUGUAUGAAUGAACAAGGAGCUCCUGUCUAAACUCGGACAUAAAAAGGUAUAAGCAGGGUUGUAUGACCUGAGAGGAAUACAGAAACACCAUCCAAGUGUGCAAGAAUGAGGUUAAGAAAGCCAAAACUCAUCUGAUGGGAGUCUGAAGAUGAUGAAGACAGACUUUUCUCAGUGGUGCCCAGUGACAAGACAAGAUGGAAUGGGCACCAUUUGAAACACAGGAAAUUCUGUCUGAACAUAAGGAAAGAAGUUUUUUUUCUGUGACUGAGCACUGGCGUGGGUUGCAUGAAGAGGUUGUAGAAUUUGCGUCCUUGGAGGUAUUCAAAAGCUGUCCAGAUAUAGUCCAGGGCAACCUGCUCUACUUGACACUGCUUGAGCAUGGUAUUGGACAAGACAGCAACUGUCCCAUGGAAAGCUCAAAUAUUCUGUGAUUCUGUAAUUAAUUAAAGUACUCAGAGGAACAGCAGUGCAAGUGACCUACUGGUCAAUAAGAUUAUUGUCUUCUAAAUAUGACACAGAAUGUAUUUUUAAUUCCUCAUGUGCAAUG